rnacentral:rRNA from 1 species
CCUACGGGAGGCAGCAGUGGGGAAUAUUGCACAAUGGGGGAAACCCUGAUGCAGCAACGCCGCGUGAAGGAAGACGGUUUUCGGAUUGUUAACUUCUUUUCUUAGUGAAGAAUAAUGACGGUAGCUAAGGAGGAAGCGACGGCUAACUACGUGCCAGCAGCCGCGGUAAUACGUAGGUGGCAAGCGUUGUCCGGAUUUACUGGGGGUAAAGGGAGCUCAGGCGGGAAGCCAAGUCAGCGGUGAAAACUACGGGCUUAACUUGUAGACGGCAGUUGAAACUGGUUUUCUGGAGUGAAGUGGGGGUUGGGGAAUUCCGGGUGUAGCGGUGAAAUGCGUAGAUAUUCGGAGGAACACCGGUGGCGAAGGCGGCCAACUGGGCUUUAACUGACGCUGAGGCUCGAAAGUGUGGGGAGCAAACAGGAUUAGAUACCCGAGUAGUC